rnacentral:rRNA from 1 species
CCAAAGGGAUGCCUCAGUAACGGCGAGUGAAGCGGCAACAGCUCAAAUUUGAAAUCUGGCCGCAAGGUCCGAGUUGUAAUUUGUAGAGGAUGCUUUUGGCGAGGUGCCUUCCGAGUUCCCUGGAACGGGACGCCAUAGAGGGUGAGAGCCCCGUACGGUAGGACCACCAAGCCUCUGUAAAGCUCCUUCGACGAGUCGAGUAGUUUGGGAAUGCUGCUCUAAAUGGGAGGUGUACGUCUUCUAAAGCUAAAUACCGGCCAGAGACCGAUAGCGCACAAGUAGAGUGAUCGAAAGAUGAAAAGCACUUUGAAAAGAGGGUUAAAAAGUACGUGAAAUUGUUGAAAGGGAAGCAUUCAUGACCAGACUUGGGCUUGGUUGAACAUCCGGCGUUCUCGCCGGUGCACUCUGCCAGUCCAGGCCAGCAUCAGUUUGCCCCGGGGGAUAAAGGCGGCGGGAAUGUGGCUCCCUUCGGGGAGUGUUAUAGCCCGUCGUGUAAUGCCCUGGGGCGGACUGAGGAACGCGCUUCGGCACGGAUGCUGGCGUAAUGGUCAUCAAUGACCCGUCUAACAACCGCGGGACCAAA